AGAGAUCUGCUGCCUGCCUGUGUCUUCUGGGUGCUGGGAUGAAAGGCAUGCAGCACAACUGCCCAGCUCAAUGAAGACUUCAGUGGCAUCAAUCCCACCAGCACAGGCUCCAAGGAUCAAACUCAGGCAUGGUGGCCAUCUUGCCAACUCCUCAAACCAAAUAAAGACAGGUUCUCUCUACAAAGCCAUGGCUACCUUGGAACUCACUUCACAGACCAGGGUGGUCUUAAACUCAAGUGAUCUUCCGACCUCUGCUAUCCAAAUAAUGCCAAGAUUAAAGGUUUAUACCACCAACUCCA